AUAAGUACCCGGGUAGUCCCACGCCGUAAACGAUGUCGACUUGGAGGUUGUUCCCUUGAGGAGUGGCUUCCGGAGCUAACGCGUUAAGUCGACCGCCUGGGGGAGUACGGCCGCAAGGUUAAAACUCAAAUGAAUUGACGGGGGCCCGCACAAGCGGUGGAGCAUGUGGUUUAAUUCGAUGCAACGCGAAGAACCUUACCUACUCUUGACAUCCAGAGAACUUAGCAGAGAUGCUUUGGUGCCUUCGGGAACUCUGAGACAGGUGCUGCAUGGCUGUCGUCAGCUCGUGUUGUGAAAUGUUGGGUUAAGUCCCGCAACGAGCGCAGCCCUUAUCCUUUGUUGCCAGCGGUUCGGCCGGGAACUCAAAGGAGACGUGCCAGUGAUAAACUGGAGGAAGGUGGGGAUGACGUCAAGUCAUCGAUGGCCCUUACGAGUAGGGCUACACACGUGCUACAAGUGGCGUAUACAAAGAGAAGCGACCUCGCGAGAGCGAAGCGGACUCAUAAAGUACGUCGUAGUCCGGAUUGGAGUCUGCAACUCGUA
rnacentral:rRNA from 1 species